GCAGCGCUGCGCCGGGGCGUGUGCGUCGGCGGGGACGGCAGCGGCCGCAGCCCUCGGCGGGGCCGCCGCCAUGGACGCAGCUACUCUCACCUACGACACUCUCAGGUUCGAAUAUGAAGACUUCCCUGAGACCAAAGAACCCGUUUGGAUCCUCGGCCGCAGAUACAGUGUUUUCACAGAGAAAGAUGAGAUCCUGUUGGAUGUGACCUCUCGCCUCUGGUUCACCUACAGGAAGAACUUCCCCGCUAUUGGAGGAACCGGUCCCACGUCUGACACUGGCUGGGGCUGUAUGUUGCGGUGUGGCCAGAUGAUCUUUGCUCAGGCCUUGGUCUGCAGACAUUUGGGAAGAGACUGGAGGUGGAUAAAAGGAAAGAGGCAGAUGGAUAAUUACUUCAGUGUUCUUAAUGCCUUCAUUGACAAAAAAGACAGCUACUACUCCAUUCACCAGAUAGCCCAGAUGGGAGUUGGAGAGGGAAAGUCCAUAGGCCAGUGGUACGGACCAAACACGGUCGCACAAGUGCUCAAAAAACUUGCCACUUUUGAUACCUGGAGUUCCCUGGCAGUGCACAUAGCCAUGGACAACACCGUGGUGAUGGAGGAAAUCAGGCGGCUGUGCCACUCCAGCUCGCCGUGUCCCGCCGGGGGAGCGGCUGCACUCUACAACGGGCACCCCGAGGGCGCUGGGGGCACAGACAGGCUCCCACUCUGGAAACCAUUGGUGCUGCUCAUACCUCUUCGCCUUGGGCUCACAGACAUCAAUGAAGCCUAUAUCGAAACCCUAAAGCACUGCUUCAUGAUGCCCCAGUCCCUGGGAGUGAUCGGAGGGAAACCAAACAGUGCUCACUACUUCAUUGGCUAUGUAGGGGAGGAGCUCAUUUACCUGGACCCCCACACCACGCAGCCUGCGGUGGAGCCCGGCGACAGCGGCUGUCUGCCCGACGAGAGCUUCCACUGCCAGCACCCUCCCUGCAGGAUGAGCAUCGCCGAGCUCGACCCCUCCAUCGCUGUGGGCUUUUUCUGCAACACAGAGGAGGAUUUCAAUGAUUGGUGCCAUCAAAUCAAAAAGCUGUCCCUGCUGAGAGGAGCUCUGCCCAUGUUCGAGCUGGUUGAACGGCAGCCGUCGCAUUUCUCCAACCCCGACGUCCUCAAUCUCACCCCAGACUCCUCCGACGCCGACAGAUUGGAAAGGUUCUUUGACUCAGAAGACGAAGACUUUGAAAUCCUGUCCCUUUGAAAACCAAUAGGAAACUGACUCUGCAAAUUUGUGUUCUGUGUGGGGAGAAGGGGGGGGGAGGGAAGCUCCUUGGAGAGCCUGGGGCUACCGGUUUUCAUAGGCGCUUGCUGCCAUCCCCGCCUCCUGUCCAUCCUGUGCAGCCCCUGAGCGCAGCGCAGUCUGCAGAGGCACGAGGAACCACGUGGGUGUUACAGCCUUUCUGGCCAGAGUCAGAAUUCCUCAGCAGAAAACAGCUGCUGGAAGUGGAUGCAGUGGUGCUUAGGAGUUCAAAGCCUAUCUGUUACACCAGCGGGUCAGUUGGCCUUCUGGGGGAGGCACAGCGGUCGUUAGAGCACUAAAUCCUUACCUGGGGACUCCCCUCUGAAGCUUAAGUAGCGCCACCCGGCAUUUAGCAGGUGAGAUGCACAGUUAAUUCCUUCAGCAGCUUCUCUUCUCUGUGGCCACCUCAGACUGCAGCUCCCAGUGCAGAUGAACAGCAGAGAAACAGCAUCCCUGCAGCUGGCUGGGCUUCGCUGCGGCACCCUGCUCACGCUCUGCAGCACGCGGCGCCUCCCCGCGGGCACAGGGCCCUCUCCUGCUCACACCCCGUCAGAAGGAAGUUCAGGGAACUUGGAGGUGGCUGGUGACUGAGGAAGCAAGAGGCUGGGGAAGGUGGAGCAGAGCCGUGCUGCUGGGGAGGAGCGUCUUCAUCUUGGUGUAGUGACAGCAGGAAGAGCAGGAGGGCAACAGAAAACGCGUCAGUCGGGACCAGGCGCUGUGCUUCUACAGUGGAUUCAUCUCUGCAGCAGGUGUCUUCAGGAGAGCUGCUUCGAGCAGAGAACUGGACUCCAUAGCCCUGUCCCCAGCUGGAAGAGGCCACAGGACACCCCAGCUGUGCCAGUGGUGUGUGUGCAUGCUGGGGCCUUUGCCCAGCCUGGGGUUAACUUGAGGGGUUAAUCCCGUCAGCACCAAAACCGUGAGCUGUGGCACUCCUCAAGGUGCACUCUGUGGGUUGCUCAGCAGUUCCUCCAAGUGAGGAACUGUUAGAAGUGUUGCUCCUGUUAGACAUUCCCUUUCCAAGUCAGAAGAGGUGCCUGAAGGUGAGGAGGCUUCCUGUCUGAAUCAGCUUCUCUCCUGUGUCCUGCCCGCUCCCCCUCGCUGCAGAGCACACAAAGGUACUCUAGGAGCCAACCCCCUGAAACCCCGUUCAAGUAACCACCCCAAAGAGGGCAGGAAAGGCAGAAUGCCUUGAGAAGGUCCAGUUGUACUUGAAAGUUGCUCUUGAAGUUGCUCUUUUAAGAUGAUGGCUCUGCCUGGGGCUCUUCUCCACAGAAUUCAGUGAAAGAAGAGAGCACUGGCUGCUUGGGACUGCCAAGUUGAUGUUCCUGCCCCAGAAGGAGAGCACUGGCUGCUUGGGACUGCCAAGGGAUGUUCCUGCCCCAGAGGGAGAGCACUGGCUGCUUGGGACUGCCAAGGGAUGUUCCUGCCCCAGAAGGAGAGCACUGGCUGCUGGGGACUGCCAAGGUCAGAGGAGUAACCAGUCUAAAAUGACUUGCUGCAGAAUCACUGAAGUUGGAAAACACCACAGCCACCACUGACCCAUGUCCCUCAACCCCACAGCUACGUGGCUCUGGAACCCCUCCAGGGAUGGGGACUCCACUCUUGGUGAAGAAAUUGAUCCCAAUACCCAACCCUGCCCUGGGGCACCUUAAGCCAGUUCCCUCUUGUCCUUGGAGGAGAGACCCCAGGGAGCUGCAGAGAGUGACCAUGUCUCCCCUCAGCCUCCCCAGGGCCCUCAGCUGCUGCUCAUAAAUGCCACCAGCCCUUCAAACUGGCCUUCCUGAGCCAAUACAUCUAUUUCAGAGUCUGAGCUGCUCAGGGAACAGCUGGAGAAGGGGCUGGAAUUCAUCUCCAUUCCCCAGCUCGAGCAAACCCUUCUCCCUGGAGUCGGUGCCUGAAACACAGCACCUUCGCCUCCCUUAAAUGCUUCCACAGGAUAAAGGAUCACACUGAAAAAAAAAUGCCCUGUGUAAAAUGUUUUAAACAAUAUUUUAUUAGUGAGUCCUCUACCAGCUGGUUCCAGCACAGGGGACACAUUUACUAGAGGCAGAAGGAGCAGAACCGUGGCAGUUCCCUGACACAGGGGAGGCUGUUGCCCAGGGCCCAGCUGUACUACUGGAGCUCCUGCUCCAGGCAGGCAGGAUUCUACCAGGGAUUAGUUCCCUGAUCAUUUAUAAAAUACAGAAGGCAGGAUGGGACCAUCAGGACCAUGCUGGAGCCAGCAGGAUCCGUGCUUACUGGAUGGUGAUGCAGGGAGUCAUCCCAGCUAGGAAGGGACAAGAGGUGAGUUUGUCCUUGGGUCUAAAAGCACAACCUGCAUGGUUUUAUUUCCAGAGUUCUCCCAAAGCUUUGUUCUGAACCUCCUGUAUGGUUUUCUCUGCAAUGGACUUGAUUUCGCUGUGCAAGUCUUCUAUGUUCUUUGAAGCAUCCAGUGUCUGUUUCCAAGACAAAAAAAUACAAACCCAUGUCCCUCA